CCUCUGGAACAGGAGUUAAUGACAGUUGAGAGCUGCCACGUGGGCGCUGUGAAUUGAACCCAGGUCCUCUGGUAGAGCAGCCAGUGCUCUUAACCACUGAUCCAUCUCUCUACUCCUCUUUUUUUCUUCUCUCUCUCUCUCUCUCUCUCUCUCUCUCUCUCUCUCUCUCUCUCUCUCUCUCUAACACUUCAGAUUUUAUCUACCUACCAGUCAACCCUCUGACUCUACCUCACCUCCCAUGCUCCCCUCCCUGUCUCCAUGAGGAUUUCCCCACCCCCUAGCCCUCACCCCAUCAGACUUCUCCACUCCUUGGGGCCUCCAGUCUCUUGAGGGUUAGGUGCAUCUUCUCUGACUGAACCCAGACCCGGCAGUCCUCUCCGCUGUGUAUGUGAUGGUGUAUAUUAGCUGAUGUAUGCCACCUGGUUGGUGGUCCAGUGUCUGAGAGCUCUUGGAGGUUUAGGUUAAUAGAUACAGAAAAUGUGGUUCAUUUGCACAGUGGAAUACUACUCCGCUAUUAAAUACAAGGACAUCGCGAGUUUUUCAGGCAAAUGGAUGGAACUAGAAAAUGUCAUUCUGAGUGAGGUAACUCAGAUCCAAAAGGACAUGCUUGAAUGCAAACAGCUGUGCAAUUGACACAUCUGGAAUUCUGGAGGACCUAGGAAUACACAGCUCUUCUUGACGGUGCCAUGAACUUCAUUACAAACCACUUGGAUCUUCGGGAAGCCAGUAUUACAAACCCACAUCCUCCACUGGGAAAACUGAGGUUCACUUUGUGCUUAUUAAGCACACUUCAAGUUGGAGUGUCAUUCUACCUGAGGUGAUGACAUCAGUCUUUCUAGCAAUGACAUGUGGGAGAAAUGGGCCUUGCAUGCUUCCAAUCCUUGUUGCUGCCUGGGGCCCAUAGGCUUCUGGAUAAGGCAGUGUGUGUGCACUAUUUUUGAGUGCAAAGGCUUCUGGGUAACACAGUUGACAGCUUUGCUGUUGCUCAUACACAAAGGCUUCUAGAUGAUGCAGCUGUGGGCAGUGCUGCUGCUUGGACACGAACCCCUGUAGACCUUGGGGCUAUGAGCUUAGGGACCUUGUUAUUUCAGGUGAAAGGAGAUUAAAUGUAGUGGAUGUCUAAAAUCUUUAACUAUCUAAAAUAUAGACAUUUAAGUAAAAUGUCUAAAAUCUACCCAAUACAAGUAUUCGCUGCAGGAGACUGUUAGUGUUCAUUUUUUCCUUUCAAUGAUCCUCCUGUGUACACGUCUUGGACUUUUCAACUGUUUGUAGUAGACAAUGUAGCACAGUCUCAUUUGUGUACUUGCUUUGUAAAGUCACUAACAGCUUUUGCUGCCCGUUAUGUUUUUGUUCAUGUCUGAAGCAUGAUACUCCAUGUUUUUAAAGAUUCCCUUUAUUAUUACCGAAAGAGAUCUCAGCAAUUGAUGGUGGGAUGGGGUCAGGGAAGGAAGGUGGAGUUCGAUUACUAAGACUGAUGUAACCAACUUGGAUUAAAAUAAAGACUACACAUGGAGAGA